rnacentral:rRNA from 1 species
AGCGAACGCUGGCGGCAGGCUUAACACAUGCAAGUCGAGCGGGCAUCCUUGUGGUGUCAGCGGCAGACGGGUGAGUAACGCGUGGGAACGUGCCCUUCGGUUCGGAAUAACUCAGGGAAACUUGAGCUAAUACCGGAUACGUGCGAGAGCAGAAAGGUUUAUCUGCCGAAGGAUCGGCCCGCGUCUGAUUAGCUAGUUGGUGAGGUUACGGCUCACCAAUGCGACGAUCAGUAGCUGGUCUGAGAGGAUGAUCAGCCACACUGGGACUGAGACACGGCCCAGACUCCUACGGGAGGCAGCAGUGGGGAAUAUUGGAAAAUGGGGGCAACCCUGAUCCAGCCAUGACGCGUGAGUGAUGACGGCCUUAGGGUUGUAAAGCUCUUUUAUCCGGGAAGAUAAUGACGGUACCGGAGGAAUAAGCCCCGGCUAACUUCGUG